rnacentral:lncRNA from 1 species
ACAUGACGUAGCAACUAAGCAUAGAGAAGCACCAGUACAAUUUUUAUUUAAAGUAUCUUAAUAACUGCAUCAUUUCUGUUCAACCAGGUAGCCCCCCUGCUUGGCUGAGCAUCCAAAGAUUCACCUGGAACUGAUAAACCCCUAGUUUCGUAGUCUCCUCUCUCUCCCCCUUUCCACAAAGCUCUGCUCCAGCCCAUCAGAAGUGCUGCCUUCCCUGAACCAGCUGUGAACUUGGCUCCUUCUAUGUCUUCUGUCCCUGCUCCUCCUUCAAGAUCUGGAAGAACAGCUAUGGAAUCUCAACCAUCCUCCAGGAACCUCUAAAAACCCCACCCACGGUCCAGCCUGGAAAGGGUCAGCCAGUGGCUCCUGCAGGCCCUUCCUGGCUGUGACUGCCAUCUUGUGGACACAGAUAGUAACUGCACUGGGGCCAGCCUCAAACACGCACCUAAGGACCAAAAGACUUCAUGACAAACAAGUGAUAUUUCAGAAGGAAGAGAGACUGAAGGAAAAUAAACCCCGACGUGAGGAGCGGCUGUCAGACCCACGGAACCUGUGUCUCACACUGGGUCUCAGGGAGCCUUGGCGGUCAGCCUCAAAACCCCAAGUCAUGGCACAGCAAACGCACUGCACACUUGGUGCAAGAAUCAGACUCAGAGAAAAGAAGAAAGGGAGGGAGAGAUGAAGGGAAAGGGCAACAGUACUGCCGAGGAUGCAAACGAGCUACCCCAAAAUAAAACUAAAUUACUACAUUCCAAUUGAAACUGCCUGGAAAAGUUUCC